rnacentral:rRNA from 1 species
GAUGAACGCUGGCGGCGUGCUUAACACAUGCAAGUCGAACGAAGCACCUUAUUCUGAUUUCUUCGGAAUGAAAAAUUCGGUGACUGAGUGGCGGACGGGUGAGUAACGCGUGGGUAACCUGCCUCAUACAGGGGGAUAACAGUUAGAAAUGACUGCUAAUACCGCAUAAGACCACAGCACCGCAUGGUGCAGGGGUAAAAACUCCGGUGGUAUGAGAUGGACCCGCGUCUGAUUAGGUAGUUGGUGGGGUAACGGCCUACCAAGCCGACGAUCAGUAGCCGACCUGAGAGGGUGACCGGCCACAUUGGGACUGAGACACGGCCCAAACUCCUACGGGAGGCAGCAGUGGGGAAUAUUGCACAAUGGGGGAAACCCUGAUGCAGCGACGCCGCGUGAGCGAUGAAGUAUUUCGGUAUGUAAAGCUCUAUCAGCAGGGAAGAAA